rnacentral:rRNA from 1 species
GAUGAACGCUGGCGGCGUGCCUAAUACAUGCAAGUCGAGCGAACAGACGAGGAGCUUGCUCCUCUGACGUUAGCGGCGGACGGGUGAGUAACACGUGGAUAACCUACCUAUAAGACUGGGAUAACUUCGGGAAACCGGCGCUAAUACCGGAUAAUAUAUUGAACCGCAUGGUUCAAUAGUGAAAGACGGUUUUGCUGUCACUUAUAGAUGGAUCCGCGCCGCAUUAGCUAGUUGGUAAGGUAACGGCUUACCAAGGCAACGAUGCGUAGCCGACCUGAGAGGGUGAUCGGCCACACUGGAAGUGAGACACGGUCCAGACUCCUACGGGAGGCAGCAGUAGGGAAUCGUCCGCAAUGGGCGAAAGCCUGACGGAGCAACGCCGCGUGAGUGAUGAAGGUCUUCGGAUCGUAAAACUCUGUUAUUAGGGAAGAACAAAUGUGUAAGGAACUAUGCACGUCUUGACGGUACCUAAUCAGAAAGCCACGGCUAACUACGUG